UACGAAGGGGGCUAGCGUUACUCGGAAUCACUGGGCGUAAAGGGUGCGUAGGCGGGUCUUUAAGUCAGGGGUGAAAUCCUGGAGCUCAACUCCAGAACUGCCUUUGAUACUGGGGAUCUCGAGUCCGGGAGAGGUGAGUGGAACUGCGAGUGUAGAGGUGAAAUUCGUAGAUAUUCGCAAGAACACCAGUGGCGAAGGCGGCUCACUGGCCCGGUACUGACGCUGAGGUGCGAAAGCGUGGGGAGCAAACAGG
rnacentral:rRNA from 1 species